rnacentral:rRNA from 1 species
UUUGGCCCCCAAUCAAGCAAGGCUACCCGCUGAACUUAAGCAUAUCAAUAAGCGGAGGAAAAGAAACCAACAGGGAUUGCCUUAGUAACGGCGAGUGAACAGGCAAGAGCUCAGAUUUGAAAGCCUCUCGGGGCAUUGUAUUCUGAAGCCUGGAUCCUGGGAAACCGGUGCUUAAGUCUUCUGGAAAGGAGCGCCAAGGAGGGUGAAAGCCCCGUACGGCACUGACCCCACUGUAGGAUCCUGGCAUGGAGUCGAGUUGUUUGGGAAUGCAGCUCAAAUGGGUGGUAUGCUCCAUCUAAAGCUAAAUAUUUGCGAGAGACCGAUAGCGAACAAGUACUGUGAAGGAAAGAUGAAAAGAACUUUGAAAAGAGAGUGAAAUAGUACGUGAAAUUGUUGAAAUGGAAGGAUAGGCCGCUAACCACGUAGAGCCGUGUUUGGGGGGAGGAUAAAAGCUGUAGAAUGUGGCUCCUCGGAGUGUUAUAGCUACAGUGCAUACUCCCACCCGGGCGCGAGGACCUAAGGCUCUGCUAAAUGGUGGUCUAUCAC